AGUGGCGCACGGGUGAGGAAUACAUCGGAAUCUACUUUUUCGUGGGGGAUAACGUAGGGAAACUUACGCUAAUACCGCAUACGACCUACGGGUGAAAGCAGGGGAUCUUCGGACCUUGCGCGAUUGAAUGAGCCGAUGUCGGAUUAGCUAGUUGGCGGGGUAAAGGCCCACCAAGGCGACGAUCCGUAGCUGGUCUGAGAGGAUGAUCAGCCACACUGGAACUGAGACACGGUCCAGACUCCUACGGGAGGCAGCAGUGGGGAAUAUUGGACAAUGGGCGCAAGCCUGAUCCAGCCAUACCGCGUGGGUGAAGAAGGCCUUCGGGUUGUAAAGCCCUUUUGUUGGGAAAGAAAUCCAGCUGGCUAAUACCCGGUUGGGAUGACGGUACCCAAAGAAUAAGCACCGGCUAACUUCGUGCCAGCAGCCGCGGUAAUACGAAGGGUGCAAGCGUUACUCGGAAUUACUGGGCGUAAAGCGUGCGUAGGUGGUUGUUUAAGUCUGUUGUGAAAGCCCUGGGCUCAACCUGGGAACUGCAGUGGAAACUGGACGACUAGAGUGUGGUA
rnacentral:rRNA from 1 species